UGCCAUCACCCAGAGUGUCAUCUUUGUCAACACCCGCCGCAAGGUGGACUGGCUCACUGACAAGAUGAGGAGCAGGGACCACACUGUUUCUGCCACUCACGGUGACAUGGAUCAGAACACUAGGGACAUCAUCAUGAGGGAGUUCAGGUCUGGUUCAUCCCGUGUGCUCAUCACCACCGACCUGCUUGCCCGUGGUAUCGAUGUUCAGCAGGUGUCCUUGGUCAUCAACUACGAUCUCCCCACCCAGCCUGAGAACUAC
rnacentral:lncRNA from 1 species